AAGAGUCAAUAUUUGCAGUGUUGACCCUUCUUUUUCAAGACCUCUGCAAUCCACCCUGGCAUGCUGUCAAUUAACUUCUGGGCCACAUCCUGACUGAUGACAGUCCAUUCUUGCAUAAUCAAUGCUCUCUGUAUCUAUUUCCAUGGCACUCUCUCUCCUCCCUGGGCUGAGAAAUGUGGAUUAUUUCCUGUUCAGGAGAAGGAAUGCAUGCUUGGAUUGGUUCAGUGAAUCCUAUUGGAUGAUGUGCUCUGCUGUAUGUGAGCCCCGACCUUGUUCAUCCUCGGGAUGCAGAGCUAAUCAGGAAUGCCCUUGUUCAUCCUCGGGAUGCAGAGCUAAUCAGGAAUGCCCUUGUUCAUCCUCGGGAUGCAGAGCUAAUCAGGAAUGCCCUUGUUCAUCCUCGGGAUGCGGAGCUAAUCAGGAAUGUCACUUCUGGUAGGAGUAGUAGAUGGACAGUGAAGACUUGGAACUUUCUUUUGGUUUGAGUUUCACACCUUGUGUUUUUUGUGAUGUUAUUGUUGUAUAUGAUUUGUCUGAGUUAGAGUCCUGUGUUUGAACUGUUUUUCUUAUGAUAUUUAUGUUGUUGGUUUGAAGUGGGUCCAAUUUGUAUGAAAAUAAAGACUCAGAGGCUACCAAAGCAUUUCUGUACAAAAUAACAUCA